rnacentral:rRNA from 1 species
UACGAGGGGGGCGAGCGUUGUUCGGAAUUAUUGGGCGUAAAGGGCGCGUAGGCGGUGCGGUAAGUCACCUGUGAAACCUCUAGGCUUAACCUAGAGCCUGCAGGCGAAACUGCCGUGCUGGAGUGUGGGAGAGGCGAGUGGAAUUCCCGGUGUAGCGGUGAAAUGCGCAGAUAUCGGGAGGAACACCUAUGGCGAAGGCAGCUCGCUGGGACGUUACUGACGCUGAGACGCGAAAGCGUGGGGAGCAAACAGG